ACCCCAAACUUCUGGCAGUUGAGUCUUGAAAAAGCACCUUUAAAACUGCAGUAGGUAGGGUAAAAAACAAAAUGGGAUCAACUCCUAGAACUGGGAGGAAACAGAGCUACAUGAAGUGUGGAAAUGAGUUUCAAAGCCACAGUGUCCUUAAGAAUCUGUACUUAACCACAUCUCCUCAGAACAGGGAAAAUCUACCUGAAUCUUCCCCAAACAUGUGUUGAAUCACUUAUCCCAUUUCUUCUCAGAACAGAUUAUUGGGUAGACUUUCUGCAGGAGAAAUUCCAAGUACAUUUACUUGCCGUCAGGAUUUCUACUGAGAGGGAAAAAGGAAUGGUAAAAGAUGAAAGUGUAAUAGUCUGAAAAUGUAAGGUAUGUAAUAGUCUGAAAAUUUAAGGUAAAGCAGAAAAUGCUUACAUUUCCCAAAUUUUCAGGAAAAGCUGUUCCUGAAUCCCAUGGGGGGAGAACUGAGCCUUGAACAGUUAGUGAGAAAAUCUGUGCUCUUUCCUGUAGAAGCCCUGGUCUGACUUCUCAGUGAUCCUGUCUCGGGGCCGCGGCACCUUGUGUGAAAUGGAGGAGGGAAGCACUUGAGCCAUCCAGACAAGUUAAGAGUGAUCCUGGUCCUUGAGUUGGGCAGAAGACUAUUCUGAGAAGAAGGGAAAUGGAGUUUGUGGGAAUGGCAGUUGUUCCGCUGAGAGAAUAAAGCCAGCAAAAAGGAGGUGACUGCCUGACGAAAAGGGACGAGUACCCGCUAACCUCAGCCAGAAGGCAGCCACACCCUGGCAGGGGCAAAGAAGAGCCCAUGCCUGGCCGGGCACUGUGGGUCCCACGCAAGCUGUUGAGCCAGAUUCCCCACUUCCCGAGCACAUCCGGAGUAGCGGCCGCAUAAGAGGAGGAGAUUUAUUCCCAGGAGCUGGGAAGUCCCAAAGAGUUAUCCAGAUCCAGACCUGCACCCCAAGAACAGCAGUACAGCCCGUGGGGAUGGUGAUUAGAGGUUGAAAACACCCAAGGUAAGAAAGAAGAGGGCAAGAGUAAUUGGGGAAGGAGACAUAAGGAUUAACUGUAUGUAAUUUCUCUAAGGGGAGGGAAAAUAGGGGUAAUUGUCAGAUUUGCAAAUCAAUGAAACUGGGGAAACCAAAACUCAAUAAAAUAAGUUUAAAAUUACUAAGUAAAGCAUCUUUCACAUAUACCUUCACAUAACGCUCAUUUCGAUUGACCAUCGAUAUGUGGCAUUUUUUAGGGGAAGACACAGUCUCUCCAGUCCAUGUAUGGAACUAAUAAAACUGUGGAAUUAUUUUAGGGUAAACCCAUGUUUGUGACCAACCCAUGUCUGUAUCUAUUAAAAGUCUACAUUCCUAUUUAAAAACAGCUUUUUCUCUUAACAUUGAGGAGUUGCCAUCUGGUCUUGAAUGUCUAGAGAUUUAGUCCACUCAGACAGGUGGAGAUUUGGCACGCUAGGCUUGAGCAAGGAGCACCAGGCCCCAACCUGGAGCAGCAGUAAGUGGUCUCCCCUGGACAUGUCAGAGAAGGCCGCUGGCGACAACUGAACAGAGGUAUGAGGGGGUGGGAAAGAAGAAUGUCAUGAAUAGUUAUCCUUGGGGUGGACUUGGGGCGCAGUGGCAAGAUAAAGCGGCAUUGCAUUCACACCUGAGGGGCUUUUUCACUUCAAAAUUUGCAAAAAGACUAUCCAUUUCCUCCAGCGGAAAAGUAUCAUCAACCUUCCUAGAAGAAUGAGGUGAGGUUACAGGUAGAGCAAAAGGGCAAUCCUGGCUGGUGAAGGAGUCCUUGCUGGCCUGGCAGCUGUCCCUGCAGCCCCACAUUGCAAGGGGGAGGCAGGGACAGCACGGU